rfam:Medicago truncatula strain A17 chromosome 5, whole genome shotgun sequence.
AUAUAAGCAAAAGUCUACUUUUAGAUACAUUCAAUUAAUGAUGUAUGUGGUCUUUAUUAUAUGUUACAUACAUCAUUAAUUGAAUGUAUCUAAAAGAUAGAUUUUUACUUAUAU